UAUUUGCAACCGCUCAAGCGAGUCAAGUAUAAAUUAUUUUCAUAUCUUUAAAUUUCAUUUUUUAUAUUUUUAUUAACUAUAUCUUGUUCUCUUUUUAAAAAGGUUAAUUUAACUUUGGGAGAGAACUCACUGCCAAUUGUUCCUUACAUACCAUAUCAACCAUCAAUUCCUCCCAUCAUGCCAUCAUCAGAGAUAAAUAGACUAAAUUCACAUAUGGAUGACGUUAAUAUUCCACUUACAAACAGGCUGCAAAUUAUGAACACAGUGUCAAAUUUGAAUGAUUCAGUGAAGUUGAGAUUGAACUGUAAUUACAACAAAUGAUAUGGAAUGGGUGCUAAGAAAGCAGGAGGGAGCAUAUUUGAUGAUAUGAAAAAAAUGAAAAAUCUAAUCAUUUUGUUAUUUAUGGAAAUGUUAUGAUAUUUUUAAAUUAUUUGAUUCGUCGUGUUUAUGUCUUGAAGGAAAAAGUAUGAUUCAUUUAAAAAGAAUUUUUUUACAUUUUGGAUUAUUAAGGAAUAUUAUUUGACAAAUAGUUUAAUAUUUUUCA